GAGCCCACAGACAGAUCCUCAACGAUAGUAACGGCCAGGAAAUGCCCUCCCCGCGUAUCUCAACAACAGCCGACGGCCAAACAGAAGAAGCGAAAGACCCACCACCGCCACCACCGCCUUCUGUCAUAAGAUUUUUCUCGACCACUUAAGUCGGUUGUGGACCUGUCAUACUAACAACUCACCUUAUAAAUUCCAAUCCUCUUGCCUCACCCAACAUUUUUCUUUGCGGAUUUUUUUCUACUUCUGUGUCUAUAGCUUACGCCAAAUCCAACCCCUCCCUGAAUCCAUGAAUCCGAGAGACAAUCCCUAUUUGGAUCGGCAAGAAUCCCCUCCACCUCCCUAUCAGUCUGAGGCGCCUGCCACUGAGGCAGUCCAACCCAAAACGGAACCGUUUUCAGUGGGUUCACAACCAUUCCCUUCUGGGUCUCCUUUACUACAAAUUCGACCCAUUUCUUCUCUGGAACCACCUUUCUCAGGUGAACCCAUUGUGACUGGAGGGGUUGCAGCUGAGGCUGAAGCUGAAGCAGAGGAAAUUGGUGCUCCUCAGCCUCUUGAUUGUCUACAGGACAAUCCAAUUCCACCGUUUUUGUCAAAGACUUUUGACAUUGUGGAUGACGUUUUGCUGGACCCCAUAGUUUCGUGGGGCCCUACUGGCGAGAGCUUUGUGGUUUGGGACCCUGUGGAGUUCUCCAGGCUUGUACUUCCUCGAAAUUUCAAGCACAACAAUUUCUCCAGUUUUGUUCGGCAACUAAAUACUUAUGGUUUCCGCAAGAUUGAUUCUGAUAAGUGGGAGUUUGCCAAUGAAGGUUUCAUGCGAGGGAAGAGGCAUCUCUUGAAGAACAUCCGUAGGCGCAAGUCACCUCUAUCCCAGCACACUGGAAGCUAUGCUGGGCCUUCUUCUGAAAUAGCAAUGUCAGGAUUGGAAAGUGAGGUAGAGAGGUUAAGGAAGCAGAAGAGUUUGUUGAUGCAGGAGGUUAUAGAAUUGCAGCAACAGCAUCGUGGAACAAUUCACCAAAUGGAAGUAGUUAAUGAAAGGAUCCAGGCAGCAGAGAAGAGGCAGAAGAAAAUGGUCUCAUUCUUGGCAAAGUUGCUUCAGAACCCAGAAUUUUUAGCCCGCCUUUUGCCCAAGGACGACCAAAGAGAUAUUGGUGUGCCAAGGAUGAUGAGGAAGUUUGUCAAGCAUCAGCAACUUGAACCUGGUAAAUCAGACUCAUCCAUGGGAGGGCAGAUUGUGAAGUACAGACCUGGUUCAGAAAAUCUGAUUACAUCCUCCUUAUUCCCACCUUCAAAUCCAGACUCAUGUGAACAAUUUCCCAAUGAUUGCUUACAAGUUAUUGCAGGGAAACUGGAUUUAGGUAUGGAAAGUGUGCCAUUCGGAACUGGGAAAGUCUCAUCAGAUGAACUAGCAGCAGUAGCUCAUAAACUUAUUAAAGCUCCAGAGCAGGUCAGAGAGGAAGCGGCCAGUUUGGGACCUGUAGAUCUCGUAUUUAAAGGAAAGAAUCUAGUGAGUUCCCAACCAGAAGGAAGCACCAACUAUAAUCUGUCUUUCAUAGAUGAUUCAGCAAAGGAGAAGGCUUUUCCUGAAUUCUUGUCCCCUGGGAUUGACGGCAUUAUAAAACAAGCGGAUAUAUGGAGCAUGGGCUUUGACGACAGUGGUGAUAUGACUAGUUCUUGUGGUGAGUUAUGGGGUAAUGUUACCAACUAUGAUGUUCCAGACUUAGGACUCACAGGUGGGAUAUCAGAUAUCUGGGAUUUAGGUUCCCUGCAAGCAGCAGAAGGUUUGGGAAUUGAUAGAUGGGCAGCUGAUGAAUCCACUUUUAAUGCACCUGAGAAUCAAGCAGACCAGCCAAAGGACUAUACUUCCAAGAAUACAUAUCCAUAGGGCUUCAUUGCUUCAGCACUCCUUUGCCCUUUUUGAUGCCAGUUAAUUUUUAGUUGGCUGGCCAUUAAAUUGGAAAUUUUAUCUAUAAAUAUAUUCAUUUCAUUAUUGGCUUCCAUUCUUUUCUUUCUUCUUUUUCCAAAAUUUCAUUAAUUCAUUUCUCAUCUGCUAAUUCAUCUAUGAUUAGGUGGAUAGUCAUAUGAGCUAGUAGAUUUUCUCGCUAACAUAUGCUUUUUAAGUUCAUGAAAUUCUGCAGGUAUUUAUGCCGUGAGAUAAGGUGUCAAUCUCCAGUUUUGUUUGGUUCCGCAUUUUCAAUUUCCUCUCUGGCAUGUCUAGUGCAAGAUAUCUUUUGUUGCAAUUUGGUUAUUUUGACCUUAUAGUUGCCUUACUACUUUUAUCUUGUGCAGUAAGUUGGAAGGUGGACUGUCUUGCUUGCCUUCAGAUGGAAGGAUUCUUUUAGAUGAAUUGGAUGAAUUGAUGGUCCACAUAUUUUUUGUUGGAAGCAUCAAGCCCUGAAUGUUAGAAGCAACCAACCUUCCAGGGGUAAUGAACAGAGUGACAGGGCUGUUAAGCGAGUGGAUCCUGUCCUGUAUGAGUGCAUUUGUAUAAUAUUCAAAAUGCCAUUUACUACUUCUUGCAGAUACCAUGUCUAAUCUAUGUAGCAAUCAUGUUAUGGUUCAUCGAAAUUGGAUUUAA